UGGGGAAUUUUGGACAAUGGGCGCAAGCCUGAUCCAGCCAUGCCGCGUGAGUGAAGAAGGCCUUCGGGUUGUAAAGCUCUUUCGGUGGGGAAGAAAUUGCUUAGGUUAAUACCUUGAGUAGAUGACGGUACCCGCAUAAGAAGCACCGGCUAACUACGUGCCAGCAGCCGCGGUAAUACGUAGGGUGCGAGCGUUAAUCGGAAUUACUGGGCGUAAAGCGUGCGCAGGCGGUUGUAUAAGUCAGAUGUGAAAUCCCCGGGCUCAACCUGGGAACUGCAUUUGAGACUGUACGGCUAGAGUGUGGCAGAGGGGGGUGGAAUUCCACGUGUAGCAGUGAAAUGCGUAGAGAUGUGGAGGAACACCGAUGGCGAAGGCAGCCCCCUGGGCCAAUACUGACGCUCAUGCACGAAAGCGUGGGGAGCAAACA
rnacentral:rRNA from 1 species